CGUAAUAGCUCACUGGUCAAGUGAUUCCGCGCCGACAAUGUAGCGGGGCUCAAGCACACCGCCGAAGCCCGUCGGCAGUCCCACGUGCACCCUAGCCUUCGUGGUUCAGGGGUGGGGCUGGGUAGGGGAGCGUCGUGCGGGCAGUGAAGCCCCCGGGUGACCGAGGGGUGGAGGCCGCACGAGUGAGAAUGCAGGCAUGAGUAGCGAAAGACGGGUGGGAAACCCGUCCGCCGGAUGAUCAAGGGUUCCAGGGUCAAGCUCAUCUGCCCUGGGUAAGUCGGGACCUAAGGCGAGGCCGACAGGCGUAGUCGAUGGACAACGGGUCGAUAUUCCCGUACCGGCGAAGGACCGCCCAUGCCGGACAGCCGAUGCUGACCGCCCGGACCCCGCACCCCAUGCCUUCGGGCAUGGACCGCGGGGGCGAGCGCGGGGACCAGAGCUGCGAGGCAAGCGUAUUAACAGGUGUGACGCAGGAAGGCAGCCCGGCCAGGCGAUGGUUGACCUGGUCCAAGGAUGUAGGGCGCGCGGUCGGCAAAUCCGCCGCGCCACGUAGCCUGAGAUCCGACGGGACCCCCUCACGGGGGGAUCGGGUGAUCCUAUGCUGCCGAGAAAAGCAUCGACGCGAGGUCCAGCCGCCCGUACCCCAAACCGACACAGGUGAUCAGGUAGAGAAUACCAAGGCGAUCGAGAGAAUCACGGUCAAGGAACUCGGCAAAAUGCCCCCGUAACUUCGGGAGAAGGGGGACCCUGACCUUGAACAGGCCGCGCGCCUGGGAGGGGAUAUGGGUCGCAGAGACCAGGGGGAAGCGACUGUUUACUAAAAACACAGGUCCGUGCGAAGUCGCAAGACGAUGUAUACGGACUGACUCCUGCCCGGUGCUGGAAGGUUAAGAGGACCCGUCAGCCAGCAAUGGCGAAGCGGAGAAUUCAAGCCCCAGUAAACGGCGGUGGUAACUAUAACCAUCCUAAGGUAGCGAAAUUCCUUGUCGGGUAAGUUCCGACCUGCACGAAUGGAGUAACGACUUCCCCGCUGUCUCGACCGUGAACUCGGCGAAAUUGCACUACGAGUAAAGAUGCUCGUUACGCGCAGCAGGACGGAAAGACCCCGAGACCUUCACUACAGUUUGGUAUUGGUGUUCGGAGCGGCUUGUGUAGGAUAGGUGGGAGACUGUGAAGCGGCACGCCAGUGCCGGUGGAGUCAUCGUUGAAAUACCACUCUGGUCGCUUUGGACACCUGAACCUCGGCCCGUGAUCCGGGUCAGGGACAGUGCCUGACGGGUAGUUUAACUGGGGCGGUUGCCUCCCAAAGAGUAACGGAGGCGCCCAAAGGUCCCCUCAGCCUGGUCGGCAACCAGGUGGCGAGUGCAAGUGCACAAGGGGGCUUGACUGUGAGAGAGACAUCUCGAGCAGGGACGAAAGUCGGGACUAGUGAUCCGGCGGCACCUCGUGGAAGGGCCGUCGCUCAACGGAUAAAAGGUACCUCGGGGAUAACAGGCUGAUCUUGCCCAAGAGUCCAUAUCGACGGCAUGGUUUGGCACCUCGAUGUCGGCUCGUCG
rnacentral:rRNA from 1 species